GGGAGGUAGUGACAAUAAAUAACAAUACGGGGCUCUUUAGGGUCUCGUAAUUGGAAUGAGUACAAUUUAAAUCCCUUAACGAGGAACAAUUGGAGGGCAAGUCUGGUGCCAGCAGCCGCGGUAAUUCCAGCUCCAAUAGCGUAUAUUAAAGUUGUUGCAGUUAAAAAGCUCGUAGUUGAAUUUCGGGAUUGGCGUGUCGGUCGUGCCUUACGGGGUAUGAACUGGCGUCGUCGAUUUCUCACCUUCUGGAGAAUCACGAUGCCCUUAAUUGGGUGUCGUGUGGAACCAGGACCUUUACCUUGAAAAAAUUAGAGUGUUUAAAGCAGGCAUUUUUGCUCGAAUACAUUAGCAUGGAAUAAUAAAAUAGGACGGUUUGGUUCUAUUUUGUUGGUUUCUAGGAUCACCGUAAUGAUUAAUAGGGAUAGUUGGG
rnacentral:rRNA from 1 species